rnacentral:pre_miRNA from 1 species
CAACUACUCCCUUUGUCCCAAAUUUCUUGUCUUAGAUUUGUCUAGAUACGGAUGUAUCUAAUACUAAAAUGUGACUUGAUACAUCUGUAUCUAGACAAAUCUAAGACAAGAAUUUUGGGACGGAGGGAGUACUUA